GGCGAACGGGUGAGUAACACGUGGGUGAUCUGCCUUGCACUCUGGGAUAAGCUUGGGAAACUGGGUCUAAUACCGGAUAGGAACCGUCUUUAGUGUGGUGGUUGGAAAGUUUUUCGGUGCAAGAUGAGCUCGCGGCCUAUCAGCUUGUUGGUGGGGUAAUGGCCUACCAAGGCGGCGACGGGUAGCCGGCCUGAGAGGGUGGACGGCCACAUUGGGACUGAGAUACGGCCCAG
rnacentral:rRNA from 1 species